rnacentral:rRNA from 1 species
GAUGAACGCUGGCGGCGUGCCUAAUACAUGCAAGUCGAGCGAACAGACGAGGAGCUUGCUCCUCUGACGUUAGCGGCGGACGGGUGAGUAACACGUGGAUAACCUACCUAUAAGACUGGGAUAACUUCGGGAAACCGGAGCUAAUACCGGAUAAUAUAUUGAACCGCAUGGUUCAAUAGUGAAAGACGGUUUUGCUGUCACUUAUAGAUGGAUCCGCGCCGCAUUAGCUAGUUGGUAAGGUAACGGCUUACCAAGGCAACGAUGCGUAGCCGACCUGAGAGGGUGGUUCGGCAACACUGGAAUGAGAACCGGGCCAGGAUCCUACGGGGAGGCGCAGUAGGGGAUCUUCCGCAAUGGGGGGAAGCCUUGCGGAACAAAGGCGCGGGGGGGGAGAAGGGCUUCGGAUCGUAAAAACUCUGUUAUUAGGGAAGAACAAAUGUGUAAGUAACUAUGCACGUCUUGACGAUACCUAAUCAGAAAGCCACGGCUAACUACGUG